rnacentral:rRNA from 1 species
GAUGAACGCUGGCGGCGUGCCUAAUACAUGCAAGUAGAACGCUGAAGCUUGGUGCUUGCACCGAGCGGAUGAGUUGCGAACGGGUGAGUAACGCGUAGGUAACCUGCCUCUUAGCGGGGGAUAACUAUUGGAAACGAUAGCUAAUACCGCAUAAAAGUCGAUAUCGCAUGAUAUUGAUUUGAUUGGUGCAAAUGCAUCACUAAGAGAUGGAUCUGCGUUGUAUUAGCUAGUUGGUGAGGUAACGGCUCACCAAGGCGACGAUACAUAGCCGACCUGAGAGGGAGAUCGACCACACUUGGACUUAGACACGGCCCAGACUCCUACGGGAGGGAGCAGUAGGGAAUCUUCGGCAAUGGGGGCAACCCUGACCGAACAACUCCGCGUGAGUUAAGGAGGUUCUCGGAUCGUAAAGCUCUGUUUGAAGAGAAGAACAAGUGUGAGAUUAGAAAGUUCACACUGUGACGGUAACUUACCAGAAAGGGACGGCUAACUACGUG